UUCGUUCUAUUCACCUCUACUGUCAACUCAAAAAGCUGAAGUGGCUGGUGCCCUAUCUUUCAGAAGGCAUGAACAGAACAAGGCACUUGUCUUCUAGUCCCAGCAUCUGGCAAUCAGAGUUUAGGGACCUCUAGAACAUGGGGUUGGACCCUUUAUAAUCUUGGCUGAUAAAUUCACACGCUACAUUUAAAAAACAUUUCUCCCCACCCGCACCAAGCCAUCUGUUGAAUUCCUUCAAAAGUUGAUUUAUUUGUUCAUUCAUUCCUGUUCCUCUUUCAGUUUAGAGACAAGGGGAAAUUUAACAUUCGUCGAGAGAAAAAAAAUCAAAUACUGGUCCAGUCUGAGCGCAGAACUGUGGGUGUGUGCAAAGCUUUGAUGUUGUUGCUCUCCCCUCCCCCUCCUCCCGUUGCUCCCAAGAAAGCGAUGGGUCAUUCCUUAGGAGCAAGGCUAAAGAAAGAAACACCCUCCGGCUCCGAUGAAGAUGCCUGGCUAGUGUGGAGUAACGGGAGGCCUCGGGUGGCUCUUGGCAUUUCGGGGUUUCAGACACACACUUUUUGAGGAGAGCCAGACAGGCCGAGACAGGAGGGCUGGGAAGUUGAUUUGGUUGUGUCUGGGUCUAGGCUAUAUUAGCAGCCUGCAGCAGCUCUGGCUUCCAAUGAUGGAGUGAAGGGGCGAGAGCAGCUCCGCUCAAAGUGCCUGGCAGUGGGAGAGCCAACUGGCUUCUAAAGAAGAAGGGCAGGGUGGUGUUGGCGGCGGGAGAAACUGCGCCCCCUCUGCGCUGUGAUGAAUGCAGCGCAACCGGGCGCUGCUGCUCCUGGGGCAUCUGCAACCCCAGGCAGUGAAAAGAAAAGGAGAAAAAAGAAGCCACCCAGCAGACAGCGGCAGGCUUCCGCCCAGCUCCUCCUGUGGAGCGUAGACUUCUCCAAGAACCUCAAGGGCUUCUCCUUGGCGUCCAUCAAGAAGGAGAAACAAAAGCCACAUCAAAGUGCUCCAGGACACUUCAAAGCGGGGCCUACUGAAGUGCGGGGCCCGGGGCAGCCGCCCCGCUCGCCCUGACCUAUAUCCGCCGCAGAGAAGCACAUCUCAGAGAAAAACUGGUUCAAAAAAGAUAUUCUCCAAUAAAAGGAGAAGGCUAUAGACUGUUUCUGUCAAGUAUUCAGAAAUAAACUCUUCAGGAGAUGAAUCUAUACCUUAUUUAGAUUGAGCCCACCUGCCUUUUUCAGACAAGAUCCUAAUUCAGCCAGGCACCGCAAAACAAGAAAAUUACAGAAUCAGUCUCAACGAGAAGAUGACACAAAGCUGAGUAUUAUCAUUAUACAAAUGUUAGUACAGUUCAGAAUAUUUCACAGACUCCACUAGCAGCCUUAUUUAUAGCAAAUAUAUAGUAAAUAUUGAACAAGAGAGAUGGCAACAUGAAACCCUGUGGAAUCUCACAGGUAAUUGUCCUCAGGAAGGAAUAAUAACAAUUGCCUCUUGCAAACCUCUGGGUCCUCCCUGAAAUGAGUAAUGUGAAGCACUGUACAGUGACCACACCCACCUCUGGAUAAAUCAUCUGUCUACUAAUGCCGUGAACAGCAGAAACAUUCUUUAAAAUGUUUGCUUAAACAUUCCGAUCACCUAAUUUGUGACUCCUACAGAAAGAAAAAUGCUUAAGGCUGAGCCAUAAUUACAUUCUCUUGAAUGGAAUCUAAAUGUUUAAACACUUUGGAUAAGCUAGUUCUAGUGCUUUUUGAGAAACCCAAGUCCCAUCACUCACUACGAAGCCUAGUAUAUUGGGAGAAUUUAAAUCAUUUUCAAACAUGUUGUAAUGUGGUUUAUGUCCAGACUCUCUCAUAUUAUGUUUACCAGUUGUGCCUCUGUAGCUAGAGGGCUAGUCAUUCAAAUGGUUUGAAGAAUUGUAGCAAUGGGGGUAUUUUUUUAAAACAGCCUCUGUUUUGAAGAAUUGUUAUUAAGUUCUGGCUGAUCUAUGUUUUACAAUAAUUUUGAGUAGGUUUGUUUUGCUAGAGUGCAAGUAAGGUAAAAUGUACAUUUAAGUCUAUUGUUUGUAAAUAUCUUUUGUGUAAUGCCACAAAAGAUAUUUACAAACAGUAAAUAUCUUUUGUGGCAUUACAAAAUGGGGGAAGGGAUAGCUCAGUGGUUUGCGCAUUGGACUGCUAAACCCAGGGUUGUGAGUUUAAUC